CCUACGGGAGGCAGCAGUGAGGAAUAUUGGUCAAUGGGCGCGAGCCUGAACCAGCCAAGUAGCGUGAAGGAUGACUGCCCUACGGGUUGUAAACUUCUUUUAUAAAGGAAUAAAGUGAGGCACGUGUCCCUUUCUGUAUGUACUUUAUGAAUAAGGAUCGGCUAACUCCGUGCCAGCAGCCGCGGUAAUACGGAGGAUCCGAGCGUUAUCCGGAUUUCUUGGGUUUAAAGGGAGCGUAGAUGGGUUGUUAAGUCAGUUGUGAAAGUUUGCGGCUCAACCGUAAAAUUGCAAUUGAUACUGGCAGCCUUGAGUACAGUUGAGGUAGGCGGAAUUCGUGGUGUAGCGGUGAAAUGCUUAGAUAUCACGAAGAACUCCGAUUGCGAAGGCAGCUCGCUGGACUGCAACUGACGCUGAGGCUCGAAAGUGUGGGUAUCAAACAGGAUUAGAUACCCGAGUAGUC
rnacentral:rRNA from 1 species